ensembl:lncRNA novel transcript
CUCCCAAAGUGUUGGAAUUAUAGGCGUGAGCCACCACGCCUGACCCCUUUUCAUUGUUCAUUGCCUUCUUCAGUGCAUAGCUUUUGGAGUUAUUUUGACUCUAUUUCUGAAACUCCAGAGAGAUGAUAAGUUGCUUUUCCCCAAAUGUGGACUCUGACUGGAGAUGCAGAAUUGUCAAAGGGGACUGGAUUCUUAAGCAUUCAAUUGCUCAUGAAUCUCUCUAAAAACAUUACAUGCUUUUGAUCUCAUGUCAGCCCUGAACGUUGGCACGCCAGGCCCACAACCAUGUGCUGGGAGAUCACACAUGCACCAGGCCCCUUCCGUUUUGAAAACUUGCGGGGAUGUGGGUGCUACGGUCCUGCCUGGGUAAGCAGAGGGGGUAUUGAGUUCCCCAGUCCUCACUGCCCCUUUGUCUAUUAUUAUUUUAUAGUUUUGUUCUGCAUUCCUUCCACUCAACCUCCAGUCCAUAGAAGCCUGUUUCUUUAUUAGUUGCAUAUGUCUGCACCCUUUUACCUCAGCAGGGAAGACAAAAUAUUCUGGAGGGUUUGGAGGCCUGGGAUGGACAGCUAAUCCAUCCCCAGCUUGAACUAAUCGUCGGGCCAAUGUGCUAUUGUACUGGGCCCUGUUCUGUGCAGCUGAGCUGUGGGGUUUCAAUUUGUAGGAGCAUAAACAGAUACUAAAGUUGGAAGAACGGCUCGGUCAUUUGUUAGCAGAGUUCAGAUCAAAUUAUCACAGCGGUCCCCUGCUGACAGGCUGAACAAUUACCUCCUUUUUUCUUGAUCUUUAAAUGUUUUCUGUUUCACUUAAGCCUCAGUAAAUAGUUUACUUCUCAUGGGCUUCAUUUAUUGACACAGAGAGGCUUGAUUUAUUUAAUUUUGUUUCUCUGCCGCCUUCCAAGAAAGGAGUCUUCAUAAUGUUUUGUUGAAAUCUACCCCCCCCAAAAUGAUAAGUUUAUCACGGUAGGCUGAGGAAGCGGUUUAAUGAUAUGACUAUAAAUUAUCUGGCUUUUUAAUGAGAAGUUUAGACACCCAAACUCUAAAGCCGAUUUUUAAAGCUUUAAGCCAGAACCCAGGCUCUGUCUCUUGAAAAGGUUGAAAUCUAGAGUCAGAAACUGGUAUAAAGAGAGAUCCCUGAGAUUUGGGGAUCUGAAUCCAUAAUUGGAUUAUUCAAAACCCAGGAAUCUGAUGAAUCUUUUCAGGAAAAUGGAGCAUAUUGUGUCCGUUCUGACUGUCCUAUCUCGGCAUAGAUUCAUUGAUGUUCUGCGUGAGUUCACCAGAAUUAACUUCAACAUUUGUUUUCACUCUUUCUCCCCUUCCCCCAGUUUCAACCCUUGACUUUCACUCUCCCAUAGUUACAUUUGUCUGCUUCUUACAGUCCUACUGGGACGGAUUUAUCAUCAUUUGCUAACAUAUCUGUCUCAAAAUCUCAGCUUUGAUCAGCUUGUAUUUUAUAACUUACAUCUGUUCUACAUUUAACCUUUUGUAAUGCUGUUUUUCAAAAAUAUUACCUGAUCUAACAAAAGAAUUGUACCAGAGUGAGAGCUCCAGAGUGUAGAUUUAAAAAAAAAAAAAAAAAAAAA